UCAGUAGCUUUAUUGCCUUAUUUAAAGAUCAAAUUCUCACGGACAUACAACUCAAGCCUGGCAAUGAUGGGCCUUCCAUAUCUGCACACAGAGCAUUACUGGUGAGCUCAAACACAAUAUGUACAUUUCUAUUAUUAUCUACGGAGUUCGAAGGUGAAUUCUAUGGGAAUUGCUCGGAAAGUGCUCCUACCUAUUAAUUGCUUGGAAUAUACAUUCGAUCUUGUGUCCAAUGCUUGUCGAAAAAGCAUUCUUAAGCAAUCAUGUCUUGUAAUUAACUGUGUACUUGUUGUCCUUGUAAACGCCCAGGCAGCAAGAUCUGAAAUAUUUAAGAACAUGCUGGACUCAGAUGCCUACAAAGCUCCUGCAAGCGACACCAUAAUGCUCCCUGAAUUGAACCAUCAAGAGCUUGAGUCUCUAUUAGAAUUUCUUUACAGUGGAAACUUGCCUAGCGAAAAGCUGGAGAAGC
rnacentral:lncRNA from 1 species